CAUAUGGGAGAAAAGGGGAGGGAUAAAUGUUUCUCAACUUCCCUCUCAACUUCCCUAUUCUGUUCUCACCACUUCUCUCAUUUUUUUAAUUCCACAAUUACCCUCUGCUCUUUCACCAAUUAAAUACAUUUUUUAUGAAGCGGCCUCACAGUUUUCCCUUACAGCAUUUACGUCGGAGCUGCAGAAAAACCGCUGUAGCGCCUGCUGAGCACGCUUGCACUGCAAACAGUAAGGAAAAGAGGCACAUGGAGAUACAGCUACAGCUAGAGAUGUGAAAGUCCACUUCAGGAGGCGACUGACUGCUGCAUUUGCAUACAAAAGGCUGAAGGAAAAAAAGUUGUCCAGUAAUGUAGUGAACUUCCCAGUCAGAGACUGAAACACAGAGGAGGUGGUGUGGAGGAGCAUAUGUCUGGAGGCAUCACAUGAUGCAUGAAGUAGCAUGUUGUAAUCGCUGGACUCAUCACAUUAGUAAGGGCCUAAAAUGUUUCCCAAUGACUGUUUUGUCAUAAAUGCCACUUGUACAUGGAACUGAAACAUUGAAGAAGGAAAAAAAGUCCUGAGUGAAGAAUUGCAACUGCAGUGCUUUGUAGGCCAGAUGACAACAUUAUAGUAAGAAAAUACAUUUUUAAGAUACCCAUCAAAUUUUAGGCCAUUGCUUCAAAAAAAUUAAGGUGUUGGAUUUUUUUUAACCCCUCUUUAACCUUAGAGAUAUUUGAUUGUUCUGUGUCUUUAAUUCUUUUAAAGUCUGACAAGUAUAGAAUUCCCUUGGAGUGUUAUCCAGGUCUCAAUGAGUGUGGACAGAAGAAAAUGCCCAGACGUUUAUAAAUUGCAAUUGGAUUUCAAAUUGAUUACAGGUACAAAGAAAUGGUCCAAUAGAACAACAGCGGUGUGACAUUGAGCAAGUGCUUGUAUAAUACUAGAUCAGCAGAUAUAUGAUUUAUGUACCCAUGUGUUGCUACUUUGCAAUGUAAAACAAACAAUCACAGUUUAUUUCUGAGAGUAUUUUACAUAUACAUUAUGGAGGUAAACAUGAAAAAGAACGUACAUAUAAUUUCAUUUAUUGCUUUAUUUUGUAGGGAUUUUCAACACACCAUUUCCACUCAAUUUUGGUUCUGAUCCCUGUUUGGGCCAGUUGACUCUUAUGAAAUAGGACAGUGACAGAGGACCCUCUUUUUAGCACCCAAAUAAGUUGCGCAUGAAAAGACCAUUACUGCAAAAGCACAAAAAGGGGAAGGAGACGAAACAACCAGAAGGGAAGUAGGUCAUUUCCCUUCAUGGUGACGGCAUGUGUCAGACUUUACCCACCAGGGAGACUUUUCGUACCCCAUUUGAUAAUUGUCUAACAACCGCUAACUAAUGUAAGGCAACGGACUCUUGUAUGAACUUUUCACAUUAAAAAUAUACCAUUGACUAAAUUAUAGGUGAAAUAUUGGCAUUUUUUACAAUCAUUAAUCUAAAAAAUCCUGAAAAUAUAAAGUAUAACAAAGUUCAACUCAUAAGCUCUGGGUAAAGUACAUUUGUAUGAAAUGGUUUGUCUUUUAUAGGAAAUGGAAGUUAAAGGGGACAAAAGAGCAACUCCUAAAUGUAAAAUGGAUGUGUGAAUGGGCAAAUGACAGAACAGGCCUGGAGUUGACCAGGGCCGUUCUUUUUGUUUUGACUGCCAAAGCAUUUUCGCUCAAACUGGUAAACUGUUGCUAUCUUAACACCUUUUGUGUAAAGCAUCAAUUCAGAAUUUUGAAUGACCUGAAUAAAUAGAGACACUUCAUAUUGGGGGUGGAAGCAAGACACAUACUAUCAACUAAAUAAUUGUGAGCACCAGAGUUAGUUAUCCUUUUGUAUGUUUUAUUUAUUAAAAAAAUAUAAAAACACUCAGCCUUGCCAUAGACAAAAAGUUGUAUUUCAUUAUAUUUUGUAGAAGCCUGUGAUUUUAUGGCCAUGAAAUCUAGAGGAAUGCAAUGAUUGAUUGAUAGAAUGUUGUGUUUGUUUUUAAUUUGGUGUUCGACUGGAAUAUUCUAACAUAAAUAUGCUUUCAUCUAAAGCAUUCCUUGUAGCUCUGGAUGUGUGUUUAGAGUUGUUGAUCUGCUGAAAGGUGAACCUCCACCCUAGGUCUUUUGUAGCCAGUAACAGGUUUAUUUUUACAAUUACCCUGUUUUUAGCUCCAUGCUUCUUCCUGUUACCUCAAACCAGCAUCCCUGUCUACACUGCAGAAAAGCAACCGCACACCAUGAUACUGCUGCCAUGUUUUACUGUGGAGAUAGUAUUCAGGUUGAUAUGCAGUGGUAGUUUUCCACCUCAAAUAAAAGUUUGAAUGUAGACCAAGAAGUUAAAAUUUUGUCUCAUCUAAGCAGAAAUCCUUCUCCUACAUGUUUGCUUGCAGCAAGUCUCUUAAACUAGAGAUUUUUCAGAUUUUUCCUUAGAAAAUGUUUAAGUACUGUAGAAUACAUUCCAGUUUGCAGUUCUAACUUGACAGAAUCCAAUAAUCGUAAGGAGGAAUCAAGUCUUUGUAAUUCUAUAACAUUGGCUUGAUUUUUGGACCAAUAUGGUACACCAAAGAAGAACCGCAGCUGUUAAACACAGACUUCUUGUCAGCAAAAUUGUGAAACUGCACUUUGAAAAUGUCUGCUUAAACAGAAAAAAUCUGUUAAAUAUGCAGUUACCCCAGACUCAUCUUCGUAUGUGGUAUUGAGGAAUGUUGCAUGGCAAGAAUGAGAUUACCAUAUUGAAAAUCCACAGAAUAACACUGCUAAUAGCUUUGUGGUGACAUCAGAAUAACCUUUAAAAUUUUAAGAAGAAAGACAUUUUCCCUUUAAAAUCA